GUCCACGCUGUAAACGAUGUCAACUAGCCGUUGGUCCUAUUUACAGGAUUAGUGGCGCAGCUAACGCAUUAAGUUGACCGCCUGGGGAGUACGGCCGCAAGGUUAAACUCAAAUGAAUUGACGGGGCCCGCACAAGCGGUGGAGCAUGUGGUUUAAUUCGAUGCAACGCGAAGAACCUUACCUACCCUUGACAUCCAGAGAAUCUGUUAGAGAUAGUGGAGUGCCUUCGGGAGCUCUGAGACAGGUGCUGCAUGGCUGUCGU
rnacentral:rRNA from 1 species